GCGGGGAUGGAGCAAGGGUGGCUCGAAGGUCUCAUAAGCCUUACAUCACCAGGUUCAACUCCUGGCUCCCGCCACCA
rnacentral:tRNA from 3 species